CAGUCGCCGCGGGAAUACAGAGGGUGCGAGCGUUAAUCGGAUUUACUGGGCGUAAAGCGUGCGUACGCGGCUUCUUAAGUCGGAUGUGAAAUCCCUGAGCUUAACUUAGGAAUUGCAUUCGAUACUGGGAAGCUAGAGUAUGGGAGAGGAUGGUAGAAUUCCAGGUGUAGCGGUGAAAUGCGUAGAGAUCUGGAGGAAUACCGAUGGCGAAGGCAGCCAUCUGGCCUAAUACUGACGCUGAGGUACGAAAGCAUGGGGAGCAAACAGGAUUAGAUACCCGAGUAGUCCCUGUCUCUUAUAC
rnacentral:rRNA from 1 species